ACCACACUGAAGGGAAUCCUGAAUUUUUCAAGGAGAAGGUGGAUGUAGAUAUUAUUUGGAUUUCAAACUUUAACGUUUUUAUUGAUUAAGUUCUUAUUUUUAUUUUUUUAACAUUUAGUCUUUUUUCAAACAAAAUUAAGUGAGUAUCCUACACCACUCACUAAAUGCGUGUAGUUGAACAAAAAAGAACAAAAGUUUUUUAUUAUUAAAGAAAACACAAAAUUUCAGAAAAUAAUUAGGAAAGUAAAAAGCUCCACCUUCCUCCAAAGUCUAAAUUAUGCACCUUGAUGAUCUCACUCCCAAUCCCACGGCUUGGCCCUCAAACAUCUUGCAGCUUACAAAUUUGGUGAUGCAUGAUGUGAGGAGAAGCUGUGGUGAUAGCUCCUGAGGUGCAGACUAAAGGGCUGGCCUAGAAGGCGCGAGUGGAACGCCAAACAUCAUUGCCGUUUGUCCAAUGGUCUUACUGGAUUUAUUGCUUCCAAUGGAGGCUCUGAUAUUUUGACCCUUGUUGGACUGCCUGGAGGCUCUUGGGUUGCAUCUGGAAAAAGAAGAUCCUUCAAGCAUGGUCAGAAACAAAUACCUUGCAUGGUUGUCAUGUUGCUAAGAUGAGACUUCUUCGGUUCUGCUAUGAGUAUUUAAGUUUGUGCUGACAGCUGAAAGAUUGGCUUGGUGAUGGUGGCAACGCUGAGGGAUUUCUACGCAAGGAUUAUCAGUUCAUAAUUUAUUUGGGUCAAACAAUACGCAAUGAUGCCCUAGGAUUUCCUAAUUGGGCUUUUGCCACUUUUAUGGGUUUUAAGCACUAAGGUUGGCUGUUGUUAGGCUUUUUUUGGUCUUGUACUCAGUAUUCUAAAUCAAUGAAAUUUGCAUUUGCCUAUUAAAAAAAAAAAAAAAAAUUCUCAUCCA